rnacentral:rRNA from 1 species
UACGUAGGGGGCAAGCGUUGUCCGGAAUCAUUGGGCGUAAAGAGCGUGUAGGCGGCUCGAUAAGUCUGCUGUGAAAGUCCAGGGCUCAACCCUGGAAGGCCGGUGGAAACUGUCGGGCUAGAGUCCGGAAGAGGCGAGUGGAAUUCCUGGUGUAGCGGUGGAAUGCGCAGAUAUCAGGAGGAACACCGAUGGCGAAGGCAGCUCGCUGGGACGGUACUGACGCUGAGGCGCGAAAGCGUGGGGAGCGAACAGG